rnacentral:rRNA from 1 species
AUUGAACGCUGGCGGCAUGCCUUGCACAUGCAAGUCGAACGGCAGCAUGAUCUAGCUUGCUAGAUUGAUGGCGAGUGGCGAACGGGUGAGUAAUACAUCGGAACGUGCCCUGUAGUGGGGGAUAACUAGUCGAAAGAUUAGCUAAUACCGCAUACGACCUGAGGGUGAAAGUGGGGGACCGCAAGGCCUCAUGCUAUAGGAGCGGCCGAUGUCUGAUUAGCUAGUUGGUGAGGUAAAGGCUCACAAAGGCGACGAUCAGUAGCUGGUCUGAGAGGACGAUCAGCCACACUGGGACUGAGACACGGCCCAGACUCCUACGGGAGGCAGCAGUGGGGAAUUUCGGACAAUGGGGGCAACCCUGAUCCAGCAAUGCCGCGUGUGUGAAGAAGGCCUUCGGGUUGUAAAGCACUUUUGUCCGGAAAGAAAUCGCACUUACUAAUAUUAGGUGUGGAUGACGGUACCGGAAGAAUAAGGACCGGCUAACUACGUGCCAGCAGCCGCCGUAACAC